AGUUCUAACGAAUUAUCCUAAGUUCCCACGUUUACCUUUCCUUCCUCCCCUAUUUCCACCGAUUCUUUCGCCGUUUCCUCUAUCGGAUCGAUCAGGAUUCUCUUGUUUCUAAUUAUCCGGUCAGUUGUUACUGCCCUUCAAUCUUGAUUCCUCAGAAGCACGGGGAGAAAUCUUGAUCUUUUGAGCCGGAUUCGUUCAUCCUGUCUCCGAUUUGAUUUGGUUGUCAAAAAAGCUUACUUCUUGAUCGAUCCGCUGCAGCUUUAAUCCUUCUUGACUACUGAUAUUUCCUUUCCUUUUUUUCUAGUUGGAAAAAUCGUUCCUUUUUAGGUUUGAGCUUGAAUUUUGUUUGAUUUCUUUUAAAUACGUCCUGAAACCCCCCUUUUUUUCCCACCCAUCAUUCCGAUUCGAGUCUUCGAAGAUCCAUCUUUUAUCGAUCUAUGAAACUUAAUUCUUAGUUAAUAAUCCUGUUCGGCUUCUAUCUCCUCGAUUUGCUUGUGUUCGCAUCUCUUCCAGGGCAUCAAAUGGCUCGAGAAAGCUGUAAUCUUGACAAAGACGAAGCCGAAAUCCUCAAACCUUCCUCCCCUUCUCCGUCGACCCCUGCUCCUCCAUCAUCGUCCCCUGCACCGCCGUCCCUGUUCUUGAAACCCUGUGAGGAAUCGCUGAACCUGAGAGCGGAGACUCCGGCUACGGAGACCGCCGUCGCGGCAUCUACCACGCCCAAGACCGACAAGGAGUCGAAGCCUGAGGAGGAAUCCAAACCGCAGGUACGAUUCAGCAAUAGGUGCUGACCGGAUUCCGGUGUCGAUGCGGGGAUCUCUUUUGCGGUCGCCACCGGUAUUCCGACGUCCAUGAUUGCUCAUUCGAUUACAAGGCGUUGGGGAGGGAGGAGAUUGCUAAGGCUAAUCCUGUGGUCAAAGCUGCCAAGAUUAUCAAGAUCUAGGUGUCACCAUUUAAGAUGCUUUCCAUGGACAACCUUUACUGGUAUAGUCGGCUGGUAUUCGUCCCCUUUUCCAAGGAAGAAUGGCUGUAUUCCAAGCUUCUACUGAUGAGGCCAAUGUUCUUGUAGUGUGGGUUAACAUUUGUGUGUGAAGACAAGCCUGGAAAUGAAAGCCAGUGGCCUUAUUAUUGACAGCAUCAUCCUCUCUUUAUGCAGUCUAAUUUGGAGGCUGGUGGGGUUUCAGAAAUCUAAUCAAGAGGCCAAACAAGCAGUUUUCUCAUCGGCCAAGGGUAAGCCAAAGACAACAUUAUUUGUCCUUGAGUUCCUCACAUGGUGGGUGGGUCUGAAUCUAUUGUGCUUGUGUUGAGGAAAGUCAAGGGAUAUCACAGGAACUUAAUUGGCUAGAAAUUUUUUGUUAUUAAUUUAGUAGGCCAUAUUGUAUUCUUGAAAUUAUUGGCUUCAACCCUUUGAUUCUCUUCCCGUUCAACAAAGUCGAGAACAAGCAAGUCAUCCGAUAGGAACAUAGGAACUGAGGAGGGGAAAGCAUAUGCUACUGGUCAUCAUGUGUGACAUGAGCUAAGAAGCAGUAGUACAAGACGAAGCCUCAAAUUCGGUAUUCAGAUAUUUUUGAGGGAUCGUUUAUUUAUUCUACUUGGAGGCAUCACCGGAUUCAUUGUCAUGUGUUGAUCGAUCACAGGACCAUGGCCUUUCCGGAAGGGCCGGACUCGAGUUUGCCUUCGCCGGCCGCGGCGCUUGUCCAGGGGAAGGGCACGAACCUGACCGUGUCGCCGCAGUUGCUCCUCUUGGUGACAGGACAGUCGAUGAUGGAGCUGCCGUCGGCGGCGACACAGAUGUGAAUCUUGUAGAGCUGCGACUCCAAGAACCACAGCUUGUUGAUGUUGCACUCCACCCAGGUGGAGGCCCCGAAGUGGGACGCCAGCACGCCCUUGAUGGUCUCCAAGCCGUAGAGCUUGCUCUUCGUCGGCACGAUUCCUUGGGAGAGAGAAGGCCGGUGUCAGUCACUGAUCCAUCUUCUAAACAUUUUCAGGCGAGGGGGGUCGACGACGUUACCGUAGGAGCUGAAGAGGGAGAGGAGGUCCACCUCGGCCCGGAGCUCAAGCGCGCGGGUGAAGUAGUUCACCUGGGUGAGGCUGGAGCAGGUGCCGUAGGUGCACCAGGCGCUCUGCCACUGGUUGACCCCGUCGUUGCUGGGGCAGCUCACGUCGCUCCAGUAGUCGUGCAGCGUCGGGAGGAGGUCGCUGAGCUGCCAUUAGUGCGUUAUCCAAGUAUCAGUAACAGAUUCGUAUUCACAGUAGUCUCCCUGAGUCAGUGGGGGUCUCAACAGAUCGAGCUCUUACUCUGUCAGCGGAGAAGGCGCAGAUGCUGCACUUCUUGACGAGCUUGCCAUUGCUGUCGUAGGUCUCCAUGGCUUGCACUUGGAAGUCCCGCGCCGGCAUCCCUGAGGACGGCUUGCAGCAUAUCCUCAAGAUGUCGCCGGUGCACUGCGCUCCCGGCCACUGCACUCAGAAGAACAUCAAACGUCAGAAGCGAAUGAGACCAUAUAGCAAAUAAGCUGGAAGCUAAGAGCAGCGUUGACGCAACAGAUCAGUAGAGGAAACUUAGAGAUAGCAUACCACAAGGGUCAAGGCCAUGAAGUCUGCGGACUUAGAGGAGACCAGAGAAGAGAGACACAAGCACAGUCCAAGCAAGAAGAGCAGCCUGAAAGCAGCCAUUGCAAGAGAACCAAGAGGGGAGGGUGGGUACCCGGUGUGGAAGCUCGCCGGAGUUGGUGACGAUGAGCUGAGACUUGAAGAGAACUGAUGCGUCUUUAUAGAACAGCGAGCCUGGGGACCGUAGUGAGCACGUUUUUUACGUGGACGCCUCUGUCACUCGCUCUGAGAGAGAGAGAGAGAUAAUUAUGCACAUUAUAUCUACGGCAGAAAAGAUGUGGAACACGAUGCACAUUAAUGCAGUAGAUCACGUGAUAAUAAACAUUUGCA